UACGAAGGUCCCAAGCGUUAUCCGGAUUUAUUGGGUUUAAAGGGUGCGUAGGCGGGCUAUUAAGUCAGUGGUGAAAGCCCCCAGCCUAACUGGGGAACUGCCAUUGAUACUGAUGGUCUUGAGUACAUUUGAGGUGGGCGGAAUGUGUCAUGUAGCGGUGAAAUGCUUAGAUAUGACACAGAACACCGAUUGCGAAGGCAGCUCACUAAACUGUAACUGACGCUGAGGCACGAAAGCGUGGGGAGCAAACAGG
rnacentral:rRNA from 1 species